rnacentral:rRNA from 1 species
UUCGAUUCUGGCUCAGGACGAACGCUGGCGGCGUGCUUAACACAUGCAAGUCGAACGGGGAUACGUUGGAAGUCCUUCGGGCGGAAGAUUAAUUCGAGUGGCGGACGGGUGAGUAACGCGUGAGCAACCUGUCCCAGACAGGGGGAUAACACUUGGAAACAGGUGCUAAUACCGCAUAAGACCACAGCACCACAUGGUGCAGGGGUAAAAGGUGCAAACCGGUUUGGGGUGGGCUCGCGUCCGAUUAGAUAGUUGGUGAGGUAACGGCCCACCAAGUCGACGAUCGGUAGCCGGACUGAGAGGUUGGCCGGCCACAUUGGAACUGAGAGACGGUCCAAACUCCUGCGGGAGGCAGCAGUGGGGAAUAUUGGGCAAUGGGCGAAAGCCUGAACCCCAGCAACGCCGCGUGAGUGAAGAAGGCCUUCGGGUUGUAAAGCUCUGUUAUGCGAGAAGAAGGACGUGACGGUAUCGCAUAAGGAAGCCCCGGCUAACUACGUGCCAGCCGCCGC